CUGGUCCUCAAACGGGGACAUGUGCACGCUCUGUUUACACAUCCACUCACACCUGUGCACCCUCCGUAGUUCUGUGGUCUGGGGGACCCUGUCUUCCUGCCGUGGUUCUACGUCUUUACACACACACUGUAAUAAAGUCUUAUGGAAUGUAUGCCGCGUCUAACGCAAUACAAUACAACUUUCAGCAACGGAUCUCUUGGCUCUCGCAUCGAUGAAGAACGCAGCGAAAUGCGAUAAGUAAUGUGAAUUGCAGAAUUCAGUGAAUCAUCGAAUCUUUGAACGCACCUUGCGCCCCUUGGCUAUUCCGAGGGGCAUGCCUGUUUGAGUAUCAUGAACACCUCAACUCUCAUGGUUUGCCGUGAUGAGCUUGGACUCUGGGGGUUUUGCUGGCCUGCRGUCGGCUCCCCUCAAAUGAAUCAGCCUCCCAGUGUUUGGUGGCAUCACGGGUGUGAUAAAUAUCUACGCUCGCAGUUGUCCGCCAGGUAACCUUUGGUAACAAAGGUUCGCUGGAGCUCACAGAUGUCUCUCCUCAGCGAGGACAGCUUUUUGAACGUUCGAUCUCAAAUCAGGUAGGACUACCCGCUGAACUUAAGCAUAUCAAUAAGCGGAGGAAAAGAAACUAACAAGGAUUCCCCUAGUAACUGCGAGUGAAGCGGGAAGAGCUCAAAUUUAAAAUCUGGCGUGCCUCUGGUCGUCCGAGUUGUAGUCUAGAGAAGYGUUUUCCGUGCUGGACCGUGUACAAGUCUCCUGA
rnacentral:rRNA from 1 species